AAAAACUAUAUGCAAUCAAUUAAGAAGGAAACAGAAUGUGCUAUAGUAUAUGUAGACAUUGCAAAUUAUGAAAAAUAGAAAACACGAACUAGUUAAAUAUAAAUUCUGGCUAUUUACUCUUCAAGACCGGGAUUCAUUAUUACCUGGAGUGUUGUCACCAAAUAGUUCGUUAAAUGAAGAGCGUUAAGAUACGUGCCAGCUUUGCUGUCCGUAAAGAAAUGGGCCAAUCAGACUUGAACCAAUGG
rnacentral:lncRNA from 1 species